AUUGAACGCUGGCGGCAGGCCUAACACAUGCAAGUCGAACGAGUGGCGGACGGGAGAGUAAUGUAUGGGAAACUGCCAGAUGGAGGGGGAUAACUACUGGAAACGGUAGAUAAUACCGCAUACCAUCGGAGGUGCCCAGAUGGGAUUAGCUAGUAGGUGGGGUAACGGCUCACAUAGGCGACGAUCCAUAGCUGGUCUAAGAGGAUGACCAGCCACACUGGAACUGAGACACGGUCCAGACUCCUAAGGGAGGCAGCAGGGGGGAAUAUUGCACAAUGGGCGCAAGCCUGAUGCCGCCCUGCCGCGUGUAUGAAGAAGGCCUUCGGGUUGUAAAGUACUUUCAGCUUGGAGGCGUGACUCGCAGAAGAAGCACCGGCUAACUCCGUGCCAGCAGCCGCGGUAAUAC
rnacentral:rRNA from 1 species